rnacentral:rRNA from 1 species
GUUGAAAAAUUAGCGGAUGACUUGUGGCUGGGGGUGAAAGGCCAAUCAAACCGGGAGAUAGCUGGUUCUCCCCGAAAGCUAUUUAGGUAGCGCCUCGUGAAUUCAUCUCCGGGGGUAGAGCACUGUUUCGGCUAGGGGGUCAUCCCGACUUACCAACCCGAUGCAAACUGCGAAUACCGGAGAAUGUUAUCACGGGAGACACACGGCGGGUGCUAACGUCCGUCGUGAAGAGGGAAACAACCCAGACCGCCAGCUAAGGUCCCAAAGUCAUGGUUAAGUGGGAAACGAUGUGGGAAGGCCCAGACAGCCAGGAUGUUGGCUUAGAAGCAGCCAUCAUUUAAAGAAAGCGUAAUAGCUCACUGGUCGAGUCGGCCUGCGCGGAAGAUGUAACGGGGCUAAACCAUGCACCGAAGCUGCGGCAGCGACGCUUAUGCGUUGUUGGGUAGGGGAGCGUUCUGUAAGCCUGCGAAGGUGUGCUGUGAGGCAUGCUGGAGGUAUCAGAAGUGCGAAUGCUGACAUAAGUAACGAUAAAGCGGGUGAAAAGCCCGCUCGCCGGAAGACCAAGGGUUCCUGUCCAACGUUAAUCGGGGCAGGGUGAGUCGACCCCUAAGGCGAGGCCGAAAGGCGUAGUCGAUGGGAAACAGGUUAAUAUUCCUGUACUUGGUGUUACUGCGAAGGGGGGACGGAGAAGGCUAUGUUGGCCGGGCGACGGUUGUCCCGGUUUAAGCGUGUAGGCUGGUUUUCCAGGCAAAUCCGGAAAAUCAAGGCUGAGGCGUGAUGACGAGGCACUACGGUGCUGAAGCAACAAAUGCCCUGCUUCCAGGAAAAGCCUCUAAGCAUCAGGUAACAUCAAAUCGUACCCCAAACCGACACAGGUGGUCAGGUAGAGAAUACCAAGGCGCUUGAGAGAACUCGGGUGAAGGAACUAGGCAAAAUGGUGCCGUAACUUCGGGAGAAGGCACGCUGAUAUGUAGGUGAAGUCCCUUGCGGAUGGAGCUGAAAUCAGUCGAAGAUACCAGCUGGCUGCAACUGUUUAUUAAAAACACAGCACUGUGCAAACACGAAAGUGGACGUAUACGGUGUGACGCCUGCCCGGUGCCGGAAGGUUAAUUGAUGGGGUUAGCGGUAACGCGAAGCUCUUGAUCGAAGCCCCGGUAAACGGCGGCCGUAACUAUAACGGUCCUAAGGUAGCGAAAUUCCUUGUCGGGUAAGUUCCGACCUG